rnacentral:lncRNA from 1 species
AUUUUACAGAUGAAGAAGAUGAGACUCAGAGCAAUUCAUAAGUUGCCCAAGGUCAGAGAGCAAGUUUUGGGGUACAUGAGCAGAGCAUGCAAGACAGUUGCUGACCCUAUCAGAGCAUGCUGAACACGUCCUGCCAUAUUCAGAGUACUUCCCUAUAAGCCGCAACAUUUUCCUCUCCUCCUCUGGAUGUUAGAAACAAUAACCCAGAACCGGCCUACAACCCCAGUCACAUCGUGAGUAUUGUCCUCUAUAAUCCUCUAGUUAUUAGGAACAAUAUCACGGGGGCUUGUGAGCUCUCUUAGAUACUUGCAGUAAUAUCUUUUAAGUUUUUGAAUAUUAGAAACGAUACUACAGUAGUGGUGUAUACUGCAUUCGAUAUUCAGAGUAUGGUAAUCCUUUGUCUUUCGGACAUGAUUCACU